rnacentral:rRNA from 1 species
AGCGAACGCUGGCGGCGUGCCUAACACAUGCAAGUCGAACGUGAAUGGGAGCAAUCCCUAGUAAAGUGGCGUACGGGUGAGUAACGCGUAGGUAAUCUACCCCAGAGUCUGGAAUAACCGGCCGAAAGGCUGGCUAAUACUGGAUAGAGCGACGGGAUCCGUAAUUGGGUCUUUCGGGAAAGGGAGGGAGUAAUCCCCCUUGCUCUGGGAUGAGCCUGCGUCCCAUCAGCUAGUUGGUAAGGUAACGGCUUACCAAGGCAUUGACGGGUAGCUGGUCUGAGAGGAUGGCCAGCCACACUGGAACUGAAACACGGUCCAGACUCCUACGGGAGGCAGCAGUGGGGAAUCUUGCGCAAUGGACGAAAGUCUGACGCAGCCACGCCGCGUGAGUGAAGAAGGCCUUCGGGUUGUAAAGCUCUGUCGCCCGGGACGAAAAGCUUUAGGGUUAAUACCCCUAGAGUCUGACGGUACCGGGAGAGGAAGCACCGGCUAACUUCGUGCCAGCAGCCGCCGUAAAAC